rnacentral:rRNA from 1 species
AUAUUGGGAAAGCGCGCAGCGCUCUGAGAUGAGUCCAUGCCUGAUUAGCUAGUUGGUGGGGUAAAAGCCUACCAAGGCGACGAUCAGUAGCUGGUCUUAGAGGAUGAUCAGCCACACUGGAACUGAGACACGGUCCAGACUCCUACGGGAGGCAGCAGUGGGGAAUCUUGCACAAUGGGGGCAACCCUGAUGCAGCCAUGCCGCGUGCGCGAUGACGGUCUUCGGAUUGUAAAGCGCUUUUGGCGGGGACGACGAUGACGGUACCCGCAGAAGAAGUCACGGCUAACUUCGUGCCAGCAGCCGCGGUAAUACGAAGGUGGCGAAUGUUGUUCGGAUUUACUGGGCGUAAAGCGUCCGCAGGUUGUUUAUUAAGUCAGGUGUGAAAGCCCCGCGCUCAACGUGGGAAUUGCAUUUGAAACUGGUGAACUUGAAGGCGAGAGAGGAGGGCGGAAUUACCGGUGUAGAAGUGAAAUUCGUAGAUAUCGGUAGGAACACCCAUGGCGAAGGCAGCUCUCUGGCUCGCACUUGACACUCAUGGACGACAGCGUGGGGAUCAAACAGGAUUAGAUACCCUGGUAGUCCACGCCGUAAACGAUGCAUGCUCGCUGUCGGGUCCGCUACAGGACUCGGUGGCUCAGCUAACGCGGUAAGCAUGCCGCCUGGGGAGUACGGCCGCAAGGUUAAAACUUAAAGGAAUUGACGGA